UUGUUGGUGGGGUGAUGGCCUACCAAGGCGACGACGGGUAGCCGGCCUGAGAGGGUGUCCGGCCACACUGGGACUGAGAUACGGCCCAGACUCCUACGGGAGGCAGCAGUGGGGAAUAUUGCACAAUGGGCGCAAGCCUGAUGCAGCGACGCCGCGUGGGGGAUGACGGCCUUCGGGUUGUAAACCUCUUUCAGCAGGGACGAAGCGCAAGUGACGGUACCUGCAGAAGAAGCACCGGCCAACUACGUGCCAGCAGCCGCGGUAAUACGUAGGGUGCGAGCGUUGUCCGGAAUUACUGGGCGUAAAGAGCUCGUAGGUGGUUUGUCGCGUUGUUCGUGAAAACCGAGGGCUUAACUCUGGGCGUGCGGGCGAUACGGGCAGACUGGAGUACUGCAGGGGAGACUGGAAUUCCUGGUGUAGCGGUGGAAUGCGCAGAUAUCAGGAGGAACACCGGUGGCGAAGGCGGGUCUCUGGGCAGUAACUGACGCUGAGGAGCGAAAGCGUGGGGAGCGAACAGGAUUAGAUACCCUGGUAGUCCACGCCGUAAACGGUGGGUACUAGGUGUGGG
rnacentral:rRNA from 1 species